UCAUCCAGUAGGCGGUGCUCUCCUUCUGCACUGUGUUCAACCAUUGUGUCAAUAAUAAGUGCUGCUGUGAAGAGAACAAUUCUCAGACUGAAUGUUGAACAUCAGCUAGUUUCUCCUGUUGAUUGAAACCUUGUUGUACAGAUGGAACAUUGGCUGUGGAUUAUUCUUGCUGCUCUUUUCUUUGAGUGUAAAGGAGAAGACGAAGUGAUCCAGGAACAAGGAGAUGUCAUUGCUGCUGAAGGAGACACAGUUACACUUGGAUGUAGAUAUGAAACCAGUGACCCAGGCCCGACUUUAUUCUGGUACAAACAGGAUGGAAACAACAGCCCCAAAUUCCUCCUGAGUCGUUUUAGUGGGGAUGAUGGAAACACAGCCGACGAGUUCAAGGAGAGAUUUUCCUCCACACUGGAUUCCAGCAUCAGAUCAGUUCCUCUGAAGAUCCAGAAGCUUCAGCUGUCAGACUCUGCUGUGUACUACUGUGCUGUGAGGCCCACAGUGACAGGAAACACCAAAACUCUGUACAAAAACCUUUGGAGCAAAGACAACAGAAUACUCCACAACAUCCACUAGAGGGACUGAUAACAAAUCUUCAUCUUUAUCUCCAACAGAAAUCAAACUCAUCAAUAACAACAUGAUAAAUGAUUGAUCACUGAUCCCACAGAGGUGGUUGUAGGUAAAGUACAGACAUCCAGGACUUGUUUCAUCGACUUCUUUACUCAAAAGUGAAAAAGUGCAGCGUUAACUGAACCUUGUGCUACAUUAAUGUAAAUGAAUGAUAUCAGCACACAGGAACACAAACUUUAUUUCAGUGUAAAUCUGAAUUAUAAUAAAAUCACUUUCUUAGAUUGAAUCAGUGAAGUCGAACAUGAGCAGAGAAAAAGGGGGAAAAUAAAGACAUUUCUAUUUUCUGUUGGCUCCUUUAGAGAGUGACUGUGCCUCUAACAGGAACAUGAGCAGAGAACAGGUUGAAGUGGAUUCAGCAGGUGGGAACCCUAAAAUCAGCUGUAGUGGCUCAGUGUGGGGAAAAGAAUGACAGCUCACAAUCAUUUCUGCUGAGAGCUCCAGUAGAUUUGAUUCAAGUACAGGCUGUGAUCAGCUGAUCUGAGCUUCACUGCUCUUUGUAAUGUGAAUUCAACCAGAUGUGAGCAGCUGUUUGCGAGGAUGCUGUCCGUGUGCUCCAGCUUCCUCCCACAGUCCAAAGACAUGCGCUUAGUGGGGUUGGGUUAGCUGGUGAUUCUUAAUUGCCCAUAAGUGUGACUGUGAGUGUGAAUGGUUGUGUGUCUCUCUGUGUUACCCUGCCAUAGACCAGUGACCUGUCCAGGCUGUGCCCCGCCUCUCGUCCUACAGUAGCUGGGAUGGCCCCGCCCCCCUAAAUUGGCUCAGUGGAAGAGAAUGGAUGGAUGGACGUAAGCAGAUGUUUCUUGGCUGAUUUCCAUCCUCUACACUGACAGUACACUGAUUCUGCUGUCUUUACUCUGCACUACACAGUUGGUGUGAAGGUGGAAAUCAGUGAAUGGAUCUCUGCAUCAUCGGCUACAAUUCAUCUGAACUUCACAUCGUUUCCUUCAAAUAAAGGGAGUCACAUGCAAGCUUUACAUUUUCAGUUCAUCAGAUAACUCUAACAUACUCUGGUGAUUAAUCCAUGGAUGGGGCUGCCUUACAUGUGUUACUGUUUAGCCUCAACCUCAACCUACCCUACAGCUGCUUUGUGGAACAGACAGAGUGGAGUCAGGUUGGGGAGCAUCCUCCAGCUCAUGGAAGCUGGACAAAAAGACCAAACUGUUGAUGAAAUGACUUCACCUGAGUUUGUUUACACUGCUAGUUCAUCAGUUUUCCCUUUUGAGUCUCUGGAGACACUGGUGACCUUUGACCUUUUGUACUUAUUGUUAUUCUUUUGAUUCCUAUCAUAACUAUCAUUAUGUGCUGUUAUUAUGUGUCAUUUUCUGUGCACACUCUGUGCUCCCUGACCGUCUUAUGAGUCUUACGCUCUUACGACCUGUUGUAGGAUUCAGGCCAUCGCUCUCCACACCUCUGGUUCUCCAGUGUAUAUGUAGUUACAGAUCUCAUCACUCUCCUACU